rnacentral:lncRNA from 1 species
UUGCAUUCUGCCGAUGUGGCACGUCCAUGUAACAAUGUCACCCUUUGUUCAAAACCUCUUCUUAAGAUGGCAUCUUCCUACAUGACAAGUCUCUAUAGUUCAUCUAAUAAUUGAAAUUAAUGCUGAAAAAAUAAAGCGUAAUUAAAUAUAAGUUCAUCAAUUUCUUUUAUAACGAUGUAAGGCCAAUAUUAAUUACUUUAGUUUAUUUUUAAUUACAUUUUUUAAUGCGCACUUUCAUUUUUUUUGUAGUAUAUUUAUUUCCUUUUCAUAAUAGUCACUAAAUAAGAAUGAUGCAUGUAAGGUGAUGAUGAAAUAACAUAUGAUAUUUGUAGCUAUGUUUUUAGUAUAUUUUCUUGCAUUUGAAGGCAAAUUAUAAGUCAAUUAGAGGAAUUGUCACUAGUUUGAGGAACGUUUUGUAUUUUUUUCACUCGAGUCGUUGUAAUUUACUUUUAUCAUGCAUUUUCAUAGGUGUUUUUAGCGUUUUCUAGUGAGAAAUCAUGCAAAUCGACAAAUCUAGACAUCAUGUGAAGGAUCAACGAUAUGAAGAUUAAAGACAAUGAUUUUUAGAUGAAAUCGACAAGACGGAAGGACGAGCGAAAAUGGUUGAAAUCGCACUUGAGGGGAUGCCUCAUAUUCCUCUCCACAUGAGGCCAUGUGCCCCUGUGCAUGGAGGAGCUUUAGCUACUUCCCCAUGCGCACCGCGCAUGGACUAGACUAGAUCCUAAGAAAACGCCAAAAAAGGGUAGCAAAAUGCGUAAAAACUGUAGCUGUAGUCUACGAGAACGCUUUAUCGUCUGUGGCAAAAUAAGGCGUUGUCUUAUCUUUUCACAACGGUUUUGUUCCCAAAGGACAACGUAGUAGGAAAAACCGUAAUUUUAGGAUUCAUAAGAAAACGGAUUUAGAAGAUCUUAAAAACAACGGAAUUUUGCCGUUGUGAAGAACAAAAGCGUAGCAAUUGGUAGCCUUUGGGAACGGUUUUUUAGGUGAUGUCACUACGCCUUGCACCGUUGCUAUUACUUAAACCGUUCUGGAAGACCUGUAUCUAAUGGCCUCUUCAUAAAUACCCCAACAGUCAAAAAAC